AGCGAGCGCUGGCGGUAGGCCUAACACAUGCAAGUCGAACGGCAGCACAGUAAGAGCUUGCUCUUACGGGUGGCGAGUGGCGGACGGGUGAGGAAUACAUCGGAAUCUACUUUUUCGUGGGGGAUAACGUAGGGAAACUUACGCUAAUACCGCAUACGACCUACGGGUGAAAGCAGGGGAUCUUCGGACCUUGCGCGAUUGAAUGAGCCGAUGUCGGAUUAGCUAGUUGGCGGGGUAAAGGCCCACCAAGGCGACGAUCCGUAGCUGGUCUGAGAGGAUGAUCAGCCACACUGGAACUGAGACACGGUCCAGACUCCUACGGGAGGCAGCAGUGGGGAAUAUUGGACAAUGGGCGCAAGCCUGAUCCAGCCAUACCGCGUGGGUGAAGAAGGCCUUCGGGUUGUAAAGCCCUUUUGUUGGGAAAGAAAAGCAGCAGGUUAAUACCCCGCUGUUCUGACGGUACCCAAGGAAUAAGCACCGGCUAACUUCGUG
rnacentral:rRNA from 1 species